rnacentral:rRNA from 1 species
GGAAUGCGCAGAUAUCAGGAGGAACACCGGUGGCGAAGGCGGGUCUCUGGGCAGUAACUGACGCUGAGGAGCGAAAGCGUGGGGAGCGAACAGGAUUAGAUACCCUGGUAGUCCACGCCGUAAACGGUGGGUACUAGGUGUGGGUUUCCUUCCUUGGGAUCCGUGCCGUAGCUAACGCAUUAAGUACCCCGCCUGGGGAGUACGGCCGCAAGGCUAAAACUCAAAGAAAUUGACGGGGGCCCGCACAAGCGGCGGAGCAUGUGGAUUAAUUCGAUGCAACGCGAAGAACCUUACCUGGGUUUGACAUGCACAGGACGCCGGCAGAGAUGUCGGUUCCCUUGUGGCCUGUGUGCAGGUGGUGCAUGGCUGUCGCCAGCUCGUGUCGUGAGAUGUUGGGUUAAGUCCCGCAACGAGCGCAACCCUUGUCUCAUGUUGCCAGCGGGUAAUGCCGGGGACUCGUGAGAGACUGCCGGGGUCAACUCGGAGGAAGGUGGGGAUGACGUCAAGUCAUCAUGCCCCUUAUGUCCAGGGCUUCACACAUGCUACAAUGGCCGGUACAAAGGGCUG